rnacentral:rRNA from 1 species
AGCGAACGCUGGCGGCAGGCCUAACACAUGCAAGUCGAACGAAGUCUUCGGACUUAGUGGCGGACGGGUGAGUAACACGUGGGAACGUACCUUUUGGUUCGGAACAACUCAGGGAAACUUGAGCUAAUACCGGAUGAGCCCUUGGGGGGAAAGAUUUAUCGCCGAAAGAGCGGCCCGCGUUAGAUUAGCUAGUUGGUGAGGUAAAGGCUCACCAAGGCUACGAUCUAUAGCUGGUCUGAGAGGAUGAUCAGCCACACUGGGACUGAGACACGGCCCAGACUCCUACGGGAGGCAGCAGUGGGGAAUCUUGCGCAAUGGGCGAAAGCCUGACGCAGCCAUGCCGCGUGAAUGAUAAAGGUCUUAGGAUUGUAAAAUUCUUUUACCAGGGACGAUAAUGACGGUACCUGGAGAAAAAGCCCCGGCUAACUUCGUGCCAGCAGCCGCCGUAAGAC